rnacentral:rRNA from 1 species
GACGCACGCUGGCGGCGUGCCUAAUACAUGCAAGUCGAACGCAGUGGGGACGGGUGAGUAACACGUGGGUAACCUCCCCUCAGAGGGGAUAACACUUUGAAACAGGUGCUAAACCGAUACUGAUGGAUGGACCCGCGGUGCAUUAGCUAGUUGGUGAGGUAACGGCUCACCAAGGCACCGAUGCAAGGCCGACCUGAGAGGGUGAUCGGCAAUGCUGGGCCGGAGACACGUCCGAGACUCCUGCGGGCGGCAGCAGUAGGGAAUCUUCGGCAAUGGACUAAAGUCUGACCGAGCAACGCCGCGUGAUGGAAGAAGGUUGUCGGAUCGUAAAACUCUGUUGUUAGAGUAGCGGUAUCUAACCAGAAAGCCACGGCUAACUAAGUGCCAGCAGCCGCGGUAAUAC